rnacentral:rRNA from 1 species
GACGAACGCUGGCGGUGUGCUUAACACAUGCAAGUGGAGCGACGAACCAGGGCUUGCCCUGGGGCAGAGCCGCGAAAGGGUGAGUAACACGUGGGUAACGUACCCCGAUUACCGGGACAACACGAGGAAACUCGGGGUAAUACCGGAUGUGCUCUCCUCCCAUGCGGGAGGCGAGUAAAGGAAGCUUCGGCCUGCGGAUGGGGCGCGGCUCGCGGCCUAUUAGUGUGUUGGUGGGGUAGUGGCAUACCAAGGCUGCGAUGGGUAGCUGGCCUGAGGGGGUGACCGGCCACACUGGGCCUGAGGGAAGGCCCAGACUGCGACGGGAGGCAGAAGUGGGGAAUAGUGCACAAGGGGCGGCAGCCUGGUGCAGAAACGCCGCGUGUGGGAACCCCGCUUUCGGGGGGUAAACGGCCGUCGGCUGUAACGCAGCGUGAGUGACGGUAACCUGCAAAGAAGCCCCGGCUAACUACGUG